AGAAAAAAAGGUCCUCUACUUUCUCAUAAUUAAAGCCUUGUACAGAGAGUAAAAGAGUGGUCUGUUCACAAAUGUGAAAGCUCACGAGAGAAACCGCAUUAUUACAACAAAAGAAAAAAGGUACCAAAGCCAAAAGAGGUACCAAAGCAGAAACAGGAGGGAAGGUGCGUUUAAUGAAAGCUCCCUCCAGCUUCCUCAUCCAAAUCAUUGCGUUGCGUAGAAGCACUGCAAACCACGUUGGAUUGGGUUCAUACAUAUUCUUUCUUUUUUUCUUUUUUUCUUUUUAAUGUUUUAAGUUUGUAGGCUUUUACACAUGCACACACGCUUCUAUUCACGUGCUCGGUUUUACUACUACAGUAGAAGAUUACUUACUAACUGGUCUAUCAGCAUUGGCCGACAACUUAUGUUAAACUUGUUUAUAUACAUAUAUAUAUAUAUAUAUAUGUAUAUAUUUUUACUGUAGAAUGUAAAGCUGUUUGAAAAAGUGUUGUUGUGUUGAAUAGCAGUUUUAGGAGAAGGAUUUUACUGAAACAUUUAUGAGCUCAUUAAUUGCAAGUUGGUGAACGUAGUGCGAGUUACAAAUCAGAACUCUGCGGAGAACUCGGACCGAAUCAUUCCGUCUCCGGUUCACCCGCCAACUCCUUUUUUCUUUGUAGUACUCUUCGGGGGAAGAAUGCACUUGCAACAAAAGUUACCUUUCUUUUUUCUUCUUCUUCAACUAGAAGACAUUCAGGACAAGUUUCAAGAGGUCGAAAGCAUGAGUUCGACAAACGGCGUUCGAUAAUUAAGAAGAUUUCUACAAAAUUUUCCUUCUUAGGUAGUUUCCGCUCUCGGGCCUAAUCAUCGCAUUCUAACUUCUCUUGCUAUCACAGAAACUUCAGAAUAUCGUCAAAUUCUCCAUACAAAGUAACAACAGCUAAACUCAAAAGCAGAAGCAGGACUAAACAGACGAGGUAAACGCUACAUAUCAGCUUUAUAUUUUGGGGGGGCCCAAGCUCAGAAUCUUGGGCCAAUUAAUUAUCCCACAAGCUGGAACUGUUAAUGUGGGCCCACUUUAAUUGGUUGCAUCCAUGGAUUCAGAGCCCUUUACCAUUAUAUUAUAUGUGUCUACAUAAUUGGUAUCAUUUGGGCUUAUUCAUUUAUUAUUGAGUGAACCCAUGGAGUCAUGUUCAUGGACUUUUAUUAUCAUCAUCAUCACCAUCCAAUGCAUUGUUUUCAAUAUUUAUAUAUAAAUAUAUUGUGAGAUUUUGGUGGUCCUGAGAAAACAUGAAGGUAGUGCCUCCACUGUGCACAUUUAUUGCACUCCUAGCAUUCAUACAAGAGUUUUGGGGUCCCCUACGUACACGAAUGUUUCACGAGUUGAGUUGAGUACACGAAUGUUUCACGAGUUGAGCUGAGCGGCCGAACCAACGAUCGACACUGUUAAAUUUAUGUCCCACUCCUGUCCCAUUACCUGCGUUGUCUCCGGUUGGUAUCGCACCUUCGUUCCGUCGACUAGGUCUCGUGUCGGCCUUUCGUUCCGGUGGUGACCUAGGUCUCGAUUGUGUCAUCUUUUAGUUCCGUUGGUGAACUGCCUUUUCGGCUGAAGCUUUUUCUCUGGCCCCUCUGGGAAAAGAAAGCCCAUCCAAAACACGAUCUACGCCUUACGAACUUAUCUAUAAACCAAAUUUUGUGAUUCUUUAGCGCAUUAAUACUUGUCUAGCAUUCAAGUGGUCUCAAAAUCAACAAAUUGCAACGACAUAUAUGAGGUCUCCAUAUUUGAGAGCACCUGAUCACGAAGUAAAUAAUACCUAAAAAGAACACGAGAUUUGGUUUACAGGAUUGAUAUAUUUCUAAAAGUAUUGCAGCUCAAUUCUGUGUUUCACACCUUCUUAGUUCUCUUUGCAAUUAUACGAGUUUGUAAGCAUCAGUUUUCUUGUAUUUAAAGGACCUGUUCCAAUUCUUUCAUUCAAAAAAAAAUAAAAAUUAUAUAUAUAAAAUAAAUAAAUAAAAACCUGUCCUAACUUUUUGAGAAAGUACCUAGCAUGCAUGCAUGUGGUCUGUUCCUGAGAAGAGUGUUUGGAGGACUUGUCCUACUUUUGAAGCUUUAAUUUCUGAGAACUAGGGUUUCUUUUGCAGGUGUGAACAUGAGUUUUACAUGACCCUUUUUUUUUUUCUUUCUUUUUUGGUAACAGUAGAUUCCUUUUCCCUUUUUCCCUUUUUUUGUUUUCUGUUAUUCCUUUUCUCUUUUUUUUUUGUGUUUCGGAGGGCAUGCUAAAUUUAAUUAUUCAUCUUAUGGUUUUAACUUAUUUGUUACUAAUACUGUAAUACAUACAUUCUCUAUUUUAAAAAACAUAAAAUCCUGCUCUAAUUAAGGCGUCAAUAUUCUAUACUUUACGUACGAUGCUAUAUUAUUUACAAUUCUACGAUUCGCGACAGUUCUUGUAACACAGCAAAGUACAACUUUUAAAAUCACACAAAAAAAUUAAGCUGAGGAUUAAUUUUUAAACAACUUGGAAUGCUUGGUAUAUAUGCUUAAUUUGAGUGAGACUUAAAUAAAGUUUUUUUGUUUUUUUUUUUUAGCUGCUUGGUAUACAUGCUUUGAGUUUGUGACAGAAAUAAUAUCACUGACAAUUGCAUAGAACAUAACAAAUAUUGAGCAGCUUUUCAGUGGGCCAUCAUGGACUCAACUUGUAGGAGAGAGAGAGAGAGAGAGAGAGAGAGAGAGAGAGAGAGAGGGUGUAGAUAAACCAAAGAAGCCAAAAAGGUUUAAUUUCUGGGUCAAUAUUCAUCAGAGAGGGACAGCACAUAGUGCAUGACCUUCCCCUUCUCAAUACACAAAUAGGACAAGCAAAAAAAAAAGAAAAAGAAAAAGAAAAAAGAAAAAAGGUUGUUGUAUUGUAGCACUGAGAAGACACAAAGGCUCUGUGCUGUGCUUAUGAAUGUAUGUGUAGUGCUUGUGUAAUGUGCAUGUGUGUGUGUGUGUGUGUGUGUGUGUGUGUGUGUGUGUGUUUUUGUUUAUGUCUGUGUUUGUGUUUGCUCCCAAGAUCACUUUUUCUUUUCUUUUCUUUUUUGGUGUUGCUUUUGCUGUUAUUUGUAAAAAAAGAAAACAAAACCCUCUCUUUUGUAUAUUAGCAUUUGGCCACUACCUAUAGAUAUAUAUAUAUAUACUUUCAUUGGACCUAGUCACAAGAAACAUUAAAAGGUAGGUAUAUAAUUACUAUUUGGCUACUAUUUAAUUUGGUUUUUUUAGGUUAUGUUCACUUUACCUAUAUUGUUGUUUGAUGAAGUGCAUAUCAGAAAUUAAAGAAACUCAAAUUAUUGCUAUAGCAAUAUUUUCACUUACUAAAAAGAAAAAAAAAGAAGAAAAAUCCUAUAAUUAAAAACUAUUUAGUGAGUGCAGAAGCAAAAACAAACAUGAACACAUAAAUGGGGCCACAAAAGAGUCCUAGUAAAAGAGGAUUCAUGCAUGAUCCAUUCACAGAGGAUUUGGACAUAUUCAAUAAAAGCAAAUGAACACACAUCACUUGCAUCUUCUGUGGACAGGUGGGGGGGAAAAAGCCUAAUAAGAUGAAAUGACCGAGUCCUAGGGCAUCUCAAAAAAUAAUAAUAAUAAAAGUUAUUUGGUGCCACCAUUGUAAAUUCCCAUGCAUAAAUAUUAUAUAUACAUAUACAUACAUACAUAUAUAUACACACACACACACUAUGUCAGCAAGUACUGAGCCCUUUUAAUUCCUAUUUUAUGACUUGGACCAUUAAAAUUCCCACCACUUGGAUUCAAGACACCAAACAAGCCAAGUAAAGGCAAGUUUAUGCAUUCCAAGAAAGAAAGAAAGAAAAAAAGCAAUAUAUAUAGAGAGAGAAAAAGAGUUCAACAAUUAUACUAUCGAUAGUGCCAAACUCUUGGUAUUAUCGAAUUUUCUACCGUUAGAUCUAUUCUUUAAUCAUUUUUAUAUGUUAGAUUACACUAUUCAAUCAACCAUGCAUCCACUCAAAUCUAAGGGAUCACUAUGAUUUUAACUGCAUAUUCUUUUAUUCAACGACCGAAAACUCGAUAACGCCAAACGUUUGGUACUAUAUAUUAAUAGUAUAGCAACAUAACUCUCUCUCUCUCUCUCUAUAUAUAUAU
rnacentral:lncRNA from 1 species